rnacentral:ncRNA from 1 species
UUUCACAUUUGAGAAGGAAUAGUAGAAACGUGUUGGAAUCAAGAGAGUGCAUGGCUGGUGGAAAUGCACAGAAGACCUUUCGAACUCGCCUUCAAGUGAUAUUUGACUGAAAUGAGUGUUUCUCAGAACCGCUCAAAGUAGGCAGAUACGGCGAUGGUCGUUAACACAUCGAGGUCUGUUUCAUAACAGAUAAAAUUAGGUGGUACCACGUUUAUAACGUCCUAUAA